rnacentral:rRNA from 1 species
CAGUAGCCGCGGUAAUACGUAUGUCGCAAGCGUUAUCCGGAAUUAUUGGGCAUAAAGGGCAUCUAGGCGGCCAGACAAGUCUGGGGUGGAAACUUGCGGCUCAACCGCAAGCCUGCCCUGGAAACUGUUUGGCUAGAGUGCUGGAGAGGUGGACGGAACUGCACGAGUAGAGGUGAAAUUCGUAGAUAUGUGCAGGAAUGCCGAUGAUGAAGAUAGUUCACUGGACGGCAACUGACGCUGAAGUGCGAAAGCUAGGGGAGCGAACAGGAUUAGAUACCCCCGUAGUCCCUGUCUCUUAUAC